AACAAGGUUUCCGUAGGUGAACCUGCGGAAGGAUCAUUACCGAGUGCUACGAGCGAGAGCUCGUUACCUCCCACCCUUUGUGAACAUACCUCUGUUGCUUUGGCGGCUCUCGCCGCGAGGGGAGGCCCUGAAAAGGGCCCGCCCCCCUCGCGCGCCCUCCGCCAGAGGACCUUCAAACUCCAGUCAGUAAACGUCGACGUCUGAUACACAAGUUAAUAAACUAAAACUUUCAACAACGGAUCUCUUGGUUCUGGCAUCGAUGAAGAACGCAGCGAAAUGCGAUAAGUAAUGUGAAUUGCAGAAUUCAGUGAAUCAUCGAAUCUUUGAACGCACAUUGCGCCCCUUGGCAUUCCGAGGGGCAUGCCUGUUCGAGCGUCAUUACAACCCUCAAGCUCUGCUUGGUAUUGGGCGCCGUCCUCUCUGCGGACGCGCCUCAAAGACCUCGGCGGUGGCUGUCCAGCCCUCAAGCGUAGUAGAAUACACCUCGCUUUGGAGCGGCUGGCGUCGCCCGCCGGACGAACCUUCUGAACUUUUCUCAAGGUUGACCUCGGAUCAGGUAGGGAUACCCGCUGAACUUAAGCAUAUCAAUAAGCGGAGGA
rnacentral:rRNA from 1 species